rnacentral:rRNA from 1 species
CAGUAGCCACGGUAAUACGAAGGGUGCAAGCGUUACUCGGAAUUACUGGGCGUAAAGCGUGCGUAGGUAGUGGUUUAAGUCCGUUGUGAAAGCCCUGGGCUCAACCUGGGAAUUGCAGUGGAUACUGGGUCACUAGAGUGUGGUAGAGGAUAGUGGAAUUUCCGGUGUAGCAGUGAAAUGCGUAGAGAUCGGAAGGAACAUCUGUGGCGAAGGCGACUAUCUGGGCCAACACUGACACUGAGGCACGAAAGCGUGGGGAGCAAACAGGAUUAGAUACCCGCGUAGUCCCUGUCUCUUAUAC